rnacentral:rRNA from 1 species
UCGAGAAUUUUUCUCAAUGGGGGCAACCCUGAAGGAGCGACGCCGCGUGGAGGAUGAAGGGCUUCGGCUUGUAAACUCCUGUCAUUUGAGAACAAGGCUCCGUAGAGUAACUGCUGCGGGGUUGAUAGUAUCAGAAGAGGAAGAGACGGCUAACUCUGUGCCAGCAGCCGCGGUAAUACAGAGGUCUCAAGCGUUGUUCGGAUUCAUUGGGCGUAAAGGGUGCGUAGGUGGCGCGCUAAGUCAGGUGUGAAAUCUCGGGGCUUAACUCCGAAACUGCAUUUGAUACUGGCGUGCUUGAGGACUGGAGAGGAGACUGGAAUUCAUGGUGUAGCAGUGAAAUGCGUAGAGAUCAUGAGGAAGACCAGUGGCGAAGGCGGGUCUCUGGACAGUUCCUGACACUGAGGCACGAAGGCCAGGGGAGCAAACGG